CAGCGUCCGGGAGCGUCCGGGAGCGGAGGGCAGCUCCGACGCACGGCGGAGACCGCGAGUGUGGCCGCCUCAGAGCGCUAGCCUAGGCCGGCCACAUGCGGGCCAGGGGAUGCGGGGCCUCCACUAGAGAAUCCCGCUCCACCACCGUGACCAGCAACAAAGUGAGACCAGCGCCUUCAGGACAGAGGGACCCAGCGGACCUUCUUUUCUGACGUCCUUGGGCAUCUCAGGGGGCGUCAGCUUUAGUCUCUCAGAUCCAGAAGCAGACCAAAGCAGCAAACAGAUGAUCACAAAAGUAACAUGUACUCCUCUGUGUGUGCCAGGUUAAACCUUGAUCAAGAAUGUUCUGGAUGAAAGACAGUACAGAUAGUUAAAAGCAAAAAUAUUUGCAGGCUCCGUGUGGCACAGUCCGAGAGCUACUGUCCUACAGGAAGCAGGAAAUGAUGGAUGCGAAAAUACAGGUGGAAGUGUUACCUAGGCAAGAGGAAGAAAUAUUUAUUCAUCUGAGACAAGAGUAAAAGAAGAUAGAGAGGAGAAAUAAAUAUGCCAAGAAGUAAUGUACAAGGUGAUGUCUAAGAAGAGUGUGAACUUGGCUGUGAGCAGCUACCCAGUGCUUCCUGUUGUGCAAAUCCCCAACAACGGUUGAUUAAUAUGUGUCUUGGCAUGUUUCUCCUUGGAUUUUUCCUGUGUGGGAUUCUGUGUGCUUCCUGGAUUUGAUCGACUACUUCCUUUCCCAUAUUAGGCACUGGUGCGACAAUAUGAAAAUUUCAAAGCAUCUUCCAGUUUAUUUAUUUUUGCUGUUGCUGUUCUCAUGUGGCAGGGCAUAGCAGAAUCUUUUAGUAUGCAAUGUUGGGCUUGUAGCUGAGAAGAGAUUUCAGAGCUAAACAGCCCAAUAAAAUAAAGUGGGAAAGAUGGCAUUUGGAUGAAGCCAAAGGAAGGAGGCUCUCAAAAGAGAUAAGUGAAAGUCUUUAGAAAGCAAUGAAACAUGAUUAUAGGAUGGGCCAAAAUAUAUAUAAUGAUAUAUUUUAUCUAACAUUCUCUUUACAAUUGUUUCUAUUGGGCAUUACCAAACACACCCAUCUCCCCUAAUUUUCAGCAGAGUAUAUAUUCUGGAGUCUAUGUCCAUGGAAAUCUAGUAAAGAGAUGAUUUUUCCUAUCUCUGGUAACAUGGCAUACAAGAGGGACCCUGUUCAUUGGAUGAUGAUCUAAUCCAUUUACUGAACUAAAAUAAUGAAUGCUGUGGCUUAUACAUGGGAAGAACCUUUAACAACAGGAACCAUUGCCUCCCCCAGAAGCUCUUUCUCCCUAUGCCCUACUGCUGGUUAUAAUAGGUGAUUACACUGUAAAUUAUCUAAUGACUUAUUCCCUUAACAAUAAAAUUUAUGGGACUUCCCUAGUGGUGCAGUGGUUAAGAAUCCGCCUGCCAAUUCAGGGGACACGGGUUUGUGCCCUGGUCUGGAAGAUCCCACAUGCCGCAGAGCAACUAAGCCCGUGUGCCACAACUACUGAGCCUGUGCUCUAGAACCCGCAAGCCACAACUACUGAGCCCGCAUGCCACAACUACUGAAGCCUGCACGCCUAGAGCCUGUGCUCUGCAACAUGAGAAGCCACUGCAAUGAAAAGCCUGCACACCGCAACGAAGAGUAGCCCCCGCUCACCGCAACGAGAGAAAGCCUGCGCACAGCAGUGAAGACCCAGCACAGUCAUAAAUAAAUAAAUAAAUUUAUUUUUAAAAAUAAAUAAAUAAAAUAGAUUUAAAAUCUCAAGAGGUAGACCUCUGUCAGUGUUUCUCAACUCUGCCUGUACAUUCCAAUCACUUGGGUAGAUUUUAAAAUAUAUGAUGCUCAGUCCUUACCCAAAGUUCCUCAUUUAGUUGCUUUGUAACUGAUUUAGUCACACCUUGUGGAGAUGUAGAUUUUGGGAAGACCAAGUCAGAACAUGAAGAGAAAGCAAAACUAUAGAGAGAAAUACCCAGAACAAAGGAGAGAGCAUUUGAAAAUACCCACAGUGAGAAAACAGAAAAGGAAACAGAAAAACUAAAAUUAGAAAAGAAAGAAACAAAUCUGGGAGAGGAUAGCUUAUGAUAUAACUUCCAGAUGAAGAAUCGAAAGUAAUGAGAAGGGCAUAGUGUCAGAUGCUUUUGGGAGUUAACUCAAGGAUAAAUCCCCUGGAUUUGGUUAGCAGAAGGUCACAGGUGGUUUCAGACAGAAGAAGCUAUUUAGGUGUGGAUGGGGAGAUUCAGGGAUGGCAUAGGCAGGGUCCGUUAAGAAAGAGAUGGCGUAGGGGGAGGGUGGACAUAUCAGGUAAAGAGAACAUCUUCAGCGAGUUAUACACUUGAAGGAAAGUGGGUAGUACAGGCCAGCCCACAUAUAGGUGGUGGAUUCAAAUGAAUAUUUUUUUAGAAGUGAAGAGAACAGAGUAUUUGAGAGCAGGUGGGAAGCAGCCCUUGGAAAGAGAGCUUGAGAAAUAAUGUAGAGCAAAGGGCUAUUUUGAGACGUGACAGUGCUGAGAAAGCAUGAACUUUAGGGUCCCAGAGGAAAGAGUGCAAGAUUCAGAAUCAGAUUGCUCAGCUUGACUACAUUUUGCGAAUGCCACAUAGGAUGUGAUUUUCUGUGAUCAAAAUGUGUGAUUAUGAUUAAAUUCCUUCACCUCCCUAUGUGUCAAUUUUGCUUCUAUAAAAUGGGCAUAAGAAUAAUAUCUUAAAGGGUUAUUGUGAAGAAUACAAGAGUAAAUACAAAUAAAUACUUUAAAGCGG